rnacentral:tRNA from 1 species
GUCCUUGUCGAUUAGGGGUUAAAUCACCACGUUGUGGCCGUGGAGCCGGAAGUUCGAUUCCUCCCUGGGACA